rnacentral:lncRNA from 1 species
CACUUUUAAAUAAAUGUUACCAAAAUGUAGUUGGCUAUACUCUUUUGGCUCUGGUGCAGGUUCAAAGUUAAAAGACUGAGAGCUAAGCCCCAAAGAAGAACAGCAUUUCGGGUACUACUGGAAGGAAUGCCCACAACAUUUCUGAUAAACAAAUUGUCUGGGUAUGUUAGAACCUAAAGUGUGUGUUGUAAUCUUGAAAUGGGAUUUGAUGUGUUUAUCUCAGGGUAAUCAUGAGAUGAGUACUAAGGUACAUGAGAAAGUGUCUCCACCAUCAUGACAUCCUCUCUUUAGAAAACUGUCACACAUGAUUUCUCUAUUGUCCCUGUUGAGUGGACAGUCUCCUUUACCCCUUUCCUCGAAUCUAAUCAAUCAGAAAAGCUGAAGCCAUGGGACUCACGCUAACCAAAUACUGGUCCUCUCCAUAGAAUCUAGAAAUAAAAACUUUAAUCCACCUUAAAUUGUGAGCAUGUAUAAGACUAUAGACAUAGUUCCCACCACAGUAGAGAUAUCAGACUGCCAGCAGAUGCCUAAGAGAAGCAGAGAUAAUAAGAUGUGCCCCAAAGUGACCCCAAUUUAUUUCCUGAUUCCGGGCUUUAAAGGAGAUCCGUCUGCACCGAAUACCCUGAGGUUCUCUGAGGCACCGCGUCCCCCUGCUAACACAUAUCUUGAAAGGAUAGUGAUCUAAAUGUAGAAAAAUUAAUUUUUGCAACGAUGUCAGGUGAUUUUAUUCUCCUCUAUAAUUUUCUGUAGUGUUGGCUUUUCCCCAAGCAUCUUUUUUUAAAAUACAAAUGAGGAAAAAUCAAAUAGCUGCAUUUAAAAUUCAUCAGAAUAGAAAUUUUUAAAAAGGAAAGAGCAAAAGCAAGAAAAUGUUCCGUGAAACAUCAAAGGACUGAUUUUUCAAAUAAAGGAUGGUUUGAUCCCUAUAGGAAGGAAAUUGUCAUUACUAUCAGCUUUCAAGAGCAGGUACAAGCAAUGAUAGAAUAUCGUCAAAGGUUUACUUGAAUUUAUAUUAGCCAGGAACAUUUUUUUCCAACUAUGUAACUUAUUAGAUAAACUUAUAUGAAACCACAUCAGGAAGACUUGCAAGAGUAGAGAAUAUUUUACUUAAAUGCUAAGGGUAUAACGUUUAAAUGUGUAUCCUGUCCUUUAAGCCGUUCAGAGGCAAGGGGGAAAAAGAAAUCAAUAAACACCAGUCCUUCAUCUCUGCUCAAUUUAGCUCCUUUGGUGAGCAAAGAAUUCCUUACGGCAAACAUCCAAAGCAUCCAAAUUUCAGGCAGCUUGACAGGGCUUUCAACCAGGUCAGUCCUAACAGAGAUAGGAAUCAAGUCUCCCACGAUGACUUUCAUUCACCAAGUGUGACUGAUUACUGAGCAGGUCGAAUUGCUGCACACUACUGACUGGAGAUCAAUUUUCAGCUUGAGGGACUAUGGAGAACAGUACACAGUGAGACAAGAGGAGGUCCAGGAUAAUUCAAUAAUGUAACAAACCAAACCAAAUCAGAGCCUCUUAGUAUAAAGAGAGGCCAGUCAUAUCAUAUAACAUUCCUACCAUUCUGAUCAGGAAAAUAUUCUGCUUUAGAAAAAAAAAUAAUAAUAAAAUAUGCAAAUAAAGUGUCAUCUAAAUCUCAUAGAGUCACAUUUAAUAUACCUCCAAAAAGUUAACCUGAACUUAAAACACCCUGCAAAUCUGGCUAUUUUCUUUUGUAACAGAUGGUAUUCUCUUUGUCAUAUUCUUUUACAUGUUGUGUAUACAGGCCUCUGUAAAAGCUGUUUAGAGAUAUGCUAUCUUUCUUUCUUUCCCUUUCAUUGCAAGGAAGAGACUCUUUAAUACAAAAUGAAACUGCUGCCAUCGGCCUUACAAGUUUUGCCUCUGCUUUAUAUCCAAUCAUUGGGAAAGUGUCACUGGAUCCAAUUAUCCCAGGAAUGAAUGUCACAAUGUUUCUGCUUUCUGUAUCAUCCAUAAUGCUAAAAGCUUUCUAUGCUACCCCAGCCUGUGCAGCCUAGAAUUGAAAAUUAUUAGGUUGAAUUCCCUCUCCCUGUAAAUAGGGAGAUACUAUGUCCCAGUUUGUUAGGCACAGUUCCUAUGUAAGCCAGCUUCCUAGAGGAAGUACUGGUAGCCCCUUUUCUCUGUUCCAGUUUGGACUAUAAAUUAAUACCUCUUCUUGUGAAAAAUAGAUGCAAAUCUUGCUCAUGAAAAAGCAACAAAUCAAGAACCAAACAGCCUCCUGUAACUCCUGCACCAUAUCAUAGAUCAUCAUACUUCUUCUUACGGCCAAUUUCUUGAAAUCAUUUUUGAUAGUCGUAAUGGCAGCUUCCAAUUCAUUUUCCAUUCGGACCUCAGCAUUUUAGAGUUCAAGUUCUAUCUACUUAAAACUACUGAACAUACUCAUAGAUUAAUAAAUUGCCUUUUCUCAGUCAAUAUGCCAACAACAAUAUGAAACAGUAGAUAUCUGAUCUUGUCAUCGUUCUUAAAAUUGUUUCACAAUCUCUUUGCUCUUCACAUUCUCCUUGUCUUUCUCUGUUUCUCUCUCUCAUUAUUUGUAUGAUUUCUCCAGACUUUUCAUCUCUUUUUCUAUAUAUGUUUUAUCUGUAUUCUUUAGUGGUCCACUCUAACCCAGGAAUCACAGCUUCCACCUCUAUGAUCAUGACACCAAAGUCUGUCCUAUGGACUGCUUCCUCUCCCAAUCCCCACACUUUCAAUUUUAAUCUGACCUGAAGAUCCUUCUUCAUGACAUAUAGAGGUGUGAUGAACUUAAUAAGUCCAAACUAGUUUCCAUCACUCGUAAACGUAUAAUCUCACUCCAAAUCCAAGUCCUUUAUUCAUCUAAUUUGGAGAGCAUCUAACAGUGUAAUGGUGCUUUAGCCCUAGAGAAUAAUAGUCCAUAACCUCAAUAAAGUGAAUGAAAGAGAAAGUGCUGUUAACAUAGGGAAAGCCCAACUUUUAAAAUUAGGAAAGUUAUGAAAUUAGUCUGGUUCAUCUACCAAAGUUAAAAAAAAAAAACUUUAGUCCAAUCCAUUUCCUUUCCUUACUUUUAUAUGUUAUAUCACUAUGAGAUAUAUGUGUACACACACACAUAUUGUUUAAUUUAGGUAUAUUCUCAGCUUCCAUUUCCUUCUUUUAUUUCUUCUGAAUCUUCUUAUAUCAAGGUUUCUUGAAGCAAGUGUUAAACAUUAACCAAGCAAAGUUUAGGAUGUUUCUUACUUGAUCCCUGCUAACCAGAAAAGAAACAUUCUAUAAUCAUUCUUUGAUGAUAAAAACAAAAAAAAAAGUUGUAUUUGUUUAUUCUUUAAAGAGGUACAAGGUUCUAUCACUAUAAAAUACCAUCCAAAAACAGUAUAUAAUACAGCAAAUAUCUGACAAAUUAGUGUUAUAAUACGUAUGGAUAUCUCUAAAUUAAGUAUUUUAAAAAGAUGCAAUAGCAAGCAUUUUAAUGAUAAAGCAUCUACUUGUACCUAAGGAGAAAAAGAACACAAGCUAGGAACACACUUGAUAGGAAAUACUCGUGUACUUGGCUUCAACCAGCAAAAUGAAGGGGAAAAAAAGCAAAAUUCAGUGUAACAGCUGGUUUCUGAAGCCUUGGAUGUCCUUAGAUUAGAAAUAUGGACAAAGGGUAAAAGGGAGGAAGCUCUAAGAACACUCCUAGCGCAUGGCAUACCAUAAACCAACCCGUUGGGUGCACUCACUUUGUGCCAUAGUGGCUUCGUCUCAGAGUCAUAGCAAGGAGUUAAUGAAGUCAAAAUGAAGCAUAGCAUCCCUGUCCAGGCUGAAGUAAAAUGUGUAAUUUAGUUCACUGAACACCACUAUUUUCAAUAUUAAGCCAUAGUGUAUUAGAUAGGAGCGCUAUAUAACAAUUCACAUAACUGUAUUUCAAGUAAAUAUUUUUAAAACUAUCUAAAUAUAUAUUUAUACUGUGGACCAUAAUCACUCUAUUUUAGCAUCUAUGAUAGCUGAAAAACUAAACAUUAGGGGGUACAUUUUCAGCACAGCAUGAGCAGAUUUAGCCUAGAGAUUCCCAUUAACGUUAGUGAGAGUUGCAUGGUUCAAUCUCAACACAUACUGCUUUGACAAUUUACCCCAAAGCAUCUGAGUAAAAGCUCCCCCAAAGAAAGAAAAUUUAAAAUUUUCUAACACAAAUCUAUCUUUUUUUGGUAUAAUUACCCAUUCACCAUUCUCCAACUCAGAAUAUACAUUUCCCCCCAACAACUGCUGUUCUAUCUUCAAAGGAAAAAAUGAAGUAAUUUAGUGGCAAAUUUUAAUAAUGGCUCUGUACUCCAUUAAUAUUAACCUCAUAGAGAAACUCUUCUAAAUAUUUUAAUUAGAAAUUUCACUAAAAAAUUCACUGAUAGCUUAGCAGUCUUGUGCUUAGCAAAAUACACUACUUUAUACAACUUCCUGUUGACAAUGGAUAAUUUUCAAUACAAAAAAGAGUAUUAAACAUGUUUUUGUGCCUUAUUUCUUCAAAUUUCUGUUUUAAAUAUUUUCCAAAGUUUUAGAUCAUAUAAAUUUAAAUUCAUGUUUGAAUUUAGAGCUUACAGUAUAAAAUAUGAAAAUAGUUUGGAAAAAAAUACCAUUCUCAAACAAAACCCAUUUUCAGAUAAUUCUUGGCUAAAUAUAUUCUAAUAUCAAACUCAUUUUUUUUCUAGUAAGAUUUUUGAACUGGAAUAACUAUCUAUCUGGAGAUCAGUAACACUGGGAAAUAUUUAUAAUUAAAUUCUUCUAAAGAAAAUCUAAUAAAAAUUCAUGAAUUCUGCCACAUUCAACAAAUAAUUGUAGCUACUAUUAGAAGUAAAGUUAGUUGGCUAUCUAAAUUUUUCUUAGUUUCUAUCUUUUACAAUGAUUUUAAAAUUAUAAAAGAGUUAUGAUUAUAAAUAAUUUCUCUGGUGAAAAUAUAUAAUAAAACAUAGCAAAUGACUAGGUAUGUCCUAAUGUGUCUAAUUUAAAUUUCAUUUAAAUGAAAUGACUAUAUCUCUAAAUAUUUCACUCCUGAUGAAAGAGACCAGUAAAUUCAUCCUCUUAU